UACGGAGGGUGCAAGCGUUAUCCGGAUUUACUGGGCUUAAAGGGUGUGUAGGCGGGCUGUUAAGUCAGUGAUGAAAUCUCCGGGCUCAACCCGGAAACUGCCAUUGAUACUAAUGGUCUUGAAUUUUGUUGAGGUAGGCGGAAUAAGUCAUGUAGCGGUGAAAUGCAUAGAUAUGACUUAGAACACCAAUUGCGAAGGCAGCUUGCUAAACAAAUAUUGACGCUGAGGCACGAAAGCGUGGGGAUCAAACAGG
rnacentral:rRNA from 1 species